rnacentral:rRNA from 1 species
GAUGAACGCUAGCGAUAGGCUUAACACAUGCAAGUCGAGGGGUAACAUGGGAGUAGCUUGCUACUUCUGAUGACGACCGGCGGAUGGGUGAGUAACGCGUAUGCAACUUGCCCUGCAGACUGGGAUAACUUCGGGAAACCGGAGCUAAUACCGGAUAACACCGAAAACCGCAUGGUUUUCGGUUGAAAGGCGGCUUUUAGCUGUCACUGCAGGAUGGGCCCGCGGCGCAUUAGCUAGUUGGUGAGGUAACGGCUCACCAAGGCGACGAUGCGUAGCCGACCUGAGAGGGUGACCGGCCACACUGGGACUGAGACACGGCCCAG